AAAGUCCAUUGUUUUGUCCUAGUUCUAGAGUUAUUUCAGAAAUGACUAGAUAAAGAUCACCAGUGUUUUAUACAUAUAUAUAUAUUCAUUCUCUUGAUUUGGCCUUCUGAGAACAGAUAUAGAAGAGUAGAAGGAAAAUAAGAGGCAGGGGCUACUUUUUCUCUAACAAUUUCAAAUGCAAGGACAUGGUAUCCAUGAGAAAGAAAAUACUGCAUAGACCAGAGGUCCCCAACUCCUUGAGCCGUGAACUUGUACCAGUCUGUGGCCUGUUAGGAACCGGAAGUACAGAGCAGGAGGUGAGUGGCAGGUGAAUGAGUGAAGCUUCAUCUGUAUCUAUAGCUGCUCCCCAUCACUUGCAUUACCACCAGAGCUCCACCUUCUGUGACAUCAGUGGCAGCAUUAGAUUCUCAUAGGAUCGCGAACCCUAUUGUGAACUGCACAUGCAGGGGAUCUAGGUUGUGUGCUCCUUAUGAGAGUCUAAUGCCAGAUGACCAGUCACUGUCUCCCAUUACACCCAGAUGGGACCAUCCAGCUGCAGGAAAACAAGCCCAGGGCUCCCACUGGUUCUACAUUAUGGUACAAGAGCCUUUUGGAACCAUGGCCAUAAAAAACACAAUUUCAGCACAAAAGGAACCGAGGAGACACUGGGGAGCUGAUUAAUAACUGUGUUAUAUGAGACAAAGGUGUGCUGGUUUUAUGAUUAGACUAACACUAGUAUUAGAAACUACAGACAGAUACUUUCUCUUGUCAGCGCCUAAGCAAGAAACCAGAAGUCAGCAAAGACAGCAAUUCUGCAUGAAUGAAGCGAGCACAGCUUGAAAAGCACUUAAGCCUCACUUUUCUAACCAUUGUCACCAUGUCAAAUCCCAAGCUGUUAUGUUUAUCAUUAAACAAAAUUUCUGCAUAUAACAUCACAACCUAAUGUUUCAUAAUCG
rnacentral:lncRNA from 1 species